rnacentral:rRNA from 1 species
AUGACCAUCAUCAUCGAGCAGCCUCAGUUUGAUGCGGCGGCGGAGAGGAAGGUCGCCGGCGACCAGGGGGAGCUCGUGCUCGACGGCGGCUUCACCGUGCCGGACUCCAACGCCUUCGGCCACACCUUCAGGGACUACGACGCGGAGUCGGAGCGGAAGAAGACGGUGGAGGAGUUCUACCGCGUGAACCACAUCAACCAGACGUACGAGUUUGUGCAGCGGAUGCGGGAUGCAUAUGGGCGGCUGGACAAGACGGAGAUGAGCAUCUGGGAGUGCAUCGAGCUGCUCAACGAGUUCAUAGACGACAGCGACCCUGACCUGGACAUGCCACAGAUUGAGCACCUCCUCCAGACCGCCGAGGCCAUCCGCAAGGACUACCCCGAUGAGGACUGGCUUCACCUCACUGGCCUCAUCCAUGAUCUGGGCAAGGUGCUGCUGCAUCCCAGCUUCGGGGAGCUACCUCAGUGGGCAGUCGUAGGUGACACCUUCCCCGUCGGCUGCGCGUUCGACGAAUGCAACGUCCACUUCAAGUACUUAAAGGAGAACCCUGACCACCACAACCCGGAGUUCAACACCAAGUUCGGGGCCUACUCCGAGGGGUGCGGGCUGGACAACGUGCUCAUGUCAUGGGGCCAUGACGACUACAUGUACCUGGUUGCCAAGGAGAACAAGACCACCCUUCCUUCUGCAGGGCUGUUCAUCAUCAGAUACCACUCCUUCUACCCCCUGCACAAGCAUGGAGCCUACAUGCACCUGAUGAACGAGGACGACAAGGAGAACCUCAAAUGGCUGCACGUCUUCAACAAGUAUGACCUGUACAGCAAGAGCAGCGUCAGGAUCGACGUCGAGGAAGUGAAGCCCUACUACAUGUCGCUCAUCGACAAGUACUUCCCGGGGAAGGUGCGAUGGUGA